UACGGAGGAUCCAAGCGUUAUCCGGAUUCAUUGGGUUUAAAGGGUGCGUAGGCGGAAUGAUAAGUCAGUGGUGAAAUCCUGCAGCUUAACUGUAGAAUUGCCUUUGAUACUGAUGAGCUUGAAUACACUAGAGGUAGGCGGAAUGUGACAAGUAGCGGUGAAAUGCAUAGAUAUGUCACAGAACACCGAUUGCGAGGCAGCUUACUAAAGUCUUAUUGACGCUGAGGCACGAAAGCGUGGGGAUCAAACAGG
rnacentral:rRNA from 1 species